ACGAGGCUUUUUAGGAGCUCAUUGGGUUCAGAUUCCAUAGGAACUCCGAAGUUAAGCGAGAUCGCGCGAGACCAAUCCCAUGAUGGGUGACCCAUUGGGAAGUUCUUGUGUGAGUUCUUAGAAACAAAACCUUGAAGGCGUGGUCGAGGCCCAAAGUGGACAAUAUUGUGCUACGGCGAAGGCAAGGCCUGAGAUGUGGCGGAGCCUGGGUUGGGAUGUGACAAUUUGAUAUCAGAGCCAAUCCUUGGCCGGAAGUGUGCCGAUGAGGACGUCGGGUCUCUAAGGGGGGUGGAUUGUUAUAUCCCACAUUGCCUAAGGGAGUGGAUCUUCUAUGCCUUAAAUGUAUAUGCCCACCUCCAUAUAGCAUGAGGCUUUUUGGGAGCUCACUAGCUUGAGAUUCCAAAGGAACUCCGAAGUUAAGCGAGAUCGCGCAAGAGCAAUCCCAUGAUGGGUGACCCAUUGGGAAGUUCUCGUGUGAGUUUCC
rnacentral:sRNA from 1 species